AGCGGCGGACGGGUGAGUAAUGCUUAGGAAUCUGCCAUUUAGUGGGGGACAACAUUCCGAAAGGAAUGCUAAUACCGCAUACGUCCUACGGGAGAAAGCAGGGGAUCUUCGGACCUUGCGCUAAAUGAUGAGCCUAAGUCGGAUUAGCUAGUUGGUGGGGUAAAGGCCUACCAAGGCGACGAUCUGUAGCGGGUCUGAGAGGAUGAUCCGCCACACUGGGACUGAGACACGGCCCAGACUCCUACGGGAGGCAGCAGUGGGGAAUAUUGGACAAUGGGCGGAAGCCUGAUCCAGCCAUGCCGCGUGUGUGAAGAAGGCCUUUUGGUUGUAAAGCACUUUAAGCGAGGAGGAGGCUACUAGUACUAAUACUACUGGAUAGUGGACGUUACUCGCAGAAUAAGCACCGGCUAACUCUGUGCCAGCAGCCGCGGUAAUACAGAGGGUGCGAGCGUUAAUCGGAUUUACUGGGCGUAAAGCGUGCGUAGGCGGCUUUUUAAGUCGGAUGUGAAAUCCCCGAGCUUAACUUGGGAAUUGCAUUCGAUACUGGGAAGCUAGAGUAUGGGAGAGGAUGGUAGAAUUCCAGGUGUAGCGGUGAAAUGCGUAGAGAUCUGGAGGAAUACCGAUGGCGAAGGCAGCCAUCUGGCCUAAUACUGACGCUGAGGUAC
rnacentral:rRNA from 1 species